rnacentral:rRNA from 1 species
UACGAAGGGGGCUAGCGUUGCUCGGAAUCACUGGGCGUAAAGGGUGCGUAGGCGGGUCUUUAAGUCAGGGGUGAAAUCCUGGAGCUCAACUCCAGAACUGCCUUUGAUACUGAGGAUCUUGAGUUCGGGAGAGGUGAGUGGAACUGCGAGUGUAGAGGUGAAAUUCGUAGAUAUUCGCAAGAACACCAGUGGCGAAGGCGGCUCACUGGCCCGAUACUGACGCUGAGGCACGAAAGCGUGGGGAGCAAACAGGAUUAGA